UACAUGGGGUGCAAACGUUGCUCGGAAUUAUUGGGCGUAAAGCGCACGUAGGCGGUUCGUUAAGUCGGAUGUGAAAGCCCUCGGCUCAACUGAGGAAGUGCACCCGAAACUGGCGAGCUUGAGUACGAAAGAGGAUCGCGGAAUUCCCGGUGUAGAGGUGAAAUUCGUAGAUAUCGGGAGGAACACCGGUGGCGAAGGCGGCGAUCGUGGGUCGAUACUGAACGCAUGAGGUGGCGAAAAGC
rnacentral:rRNA from 1 species